rnacentral:rRNA from 1 species
GACGAACGCUGGCGGCGUGCCUAAUACAUGCAAGUAGAACGCUGAAGGAGGAGCUUGCUUCUCUGGAUGAGUUGCGAACGGGUGAGUAACGCGUAGGUAACCUGCCUGGUAGCGGGGGAUAACUAUUGGAAACGAUAGCUAAUACCGCAUAAGAGUAGAUGUUGCAUGACAUUUGCUUAAAAGGUGCAAUUGCAUCACUACCAGAUGGACCUGCGUUGUAUUAGCUAGUUGGUGGGGUAACGGCUCACCGAGGCGACGAUACAUAGCCGACCUGAGAGGGUGAUCGGCCACACUGGGACUGAGACACGGCCCAGACUCCUACGGGAGGCAGCAGUAGGGAAUCUUCGGCAAUGGACGGAAGUCUGACCGAGCAACGCCGCGUGAGUGAAGAAGGUUUUCGGAUCGUAAAGCUCGGUUGUAAGAGAAGAACGAGUGUGAGAGUGGAAAGUUCACACUGUGACGGUAUCUUACCAGAAAGGGACGGCUAACUACGUG